GUUAUAAUAAGAGGGGAAGGAUAGGAAUCAAAAAUCGCAGGUGAUAGAGUGAUACAAUAAAUUUUCUCGAUGCACAUAUCGUUGCCCUUACGGAGUAAUAAUAAUAUAAUUUCUCGAUGAAUGAAUAAUUAAGAGAAUCUAAUCGAGAGUUGAUUUUGAUAUAGCGAACAUAUAUUUUAAACAAUGUCAGUAUUAGUAAAAAAUUUUAACGAUACGAAAUACAUCGAGCUUAUCAAAGAAGCUCAUCAUCUCAUUUUCUCACUUUAAACGAGAGCGAACAAAUUACUUGCCCUAGCGUUUGUUAAUUUUUUUACCAAAUUUACGAUAGCGGUUAUCAUGGGAUAGCGUUAAGCAACGCUUAUAAAACAAUAUGAGCCGCAUUCGAAUAUUUUCGAGCACGUAGUAUUAAGAGAAUCGGUGG